rnacentral:rRNA from 1 species
GGAAUUUUGCGCAAUGGGCGAAAGCCUGACGCAGCAACGCCGCGUGUGUGAUGAAGGUCUUCGGAUUGUAAAGCACUUUCGACCGGGACGACAACCCCUUGGCUAACACCCAAGGGCUUGACGGUACCGGGAGAAGAAGCACCGGCUAACUCUGUGCCACCAGCGGCGGUAAUACAGAGGGUGCAAGCGUUGUUCGGAAUUAUUGGGCGUAAAGCGCGUGUAGGCGGCUUUGCAAGUCGGGUGUGAAAGCCCUCAGCUCAACUGAGGAAGUGCGCCCGAAACUGCAGAGCUUGAGUGCCGGAGAGGGUGGCGGAAUUCCCCAAGUAGAGGUGAAAUUCGUAGAUAUGGGGAGGAACACCGGUGGCGAAGGCGGCCACCUGGACGGUGACUGACGCUGAGACGCGAAAGCGUGGGGAGCAAA